CCUACGGGUGGCAGCAGUGGGGAAUUUUGCGCAAUGCUCGUAAGAGUGACGCAGCGACGCCGCGUGAAUGACGAAGGCCCUCGGGUUGUUAAGUCUCUUUGACCGGGAAGCACAUGCCUAUAAGUAUCUCUGUAUGUAUUGACGGUACCUGUAUAAGCAGCCCCGGCUAAAUCCGGGCCAGCAGCCGCGGUCAUACGGAGGGGGCGAGCGUUGUUCGGGAUGAAUGGGCGUAAAGAGGACGGGUGCGGUGUUGUUAGUCAUUAGUCAAAGACUAGGGCUCAACCUCAGUAAGGCCAGUGAUACUGGAAGUCUAGAGUAGCAGAGAGGAUUGCAGAAUGCGUGGUGUAGCGGUGAAAUGCAUAGAUAUCAGGAAGAAUACCGUUAGCGAAGGCAGCAAUCUGGCUGCAAACUGACGCUGAGGUACGAAAGCGUGGGUAUCGAACAGGAUUAGAUACCCUUGUAGUC
rnacentral:rRNA from 1 species